CGCAAGGGGAGCGGCAGACGGGUGAGUAACGCGUGGGAAUCUACCUUUUGCUACGGAAUAACGCAGGGAAACUUGUGCUAAUACCGUAUGUGUCCUUCGGGAGAAAGAUUUAUCGGCAAGAGAUGAGCCCGCGUUGGAUUAGCUAGUUGGUGGGGUAAAGGCCUACCAAGGCGACGAUCCAUAGCUGGUCUGAGAGGAUGAUCAGCCACAUUGGGACUGAGACACGGCCCAAACUCCUACGGGAGGCAGCAGUGGGGAAUAUUGGACAAUGGGCGCAAGCCUGAUCCAGCCAUGCCGCGUGAGUGAUGAAGGCCCUAGGGUUGUAAAGCUCUUUCACCGGAGAAGAUAAUGACGGUAUCCGGAGAAGAAGCCCCGGCUAACUUCGUGCCAGCAGCCGCGGUAA
rnacentral:rRNA from 2 species